GCACCGCUGAGUAGUCGCACAAUAGGACGAAACGGCCGUCCCGUGC
rnacentral:hammerhead_ribozyme from 1 species